CACGAACGAUGGCGGCAGGCUUAACACAUGCAAGUCGAACGCCCCGCAAGGGGAGUGGCAGAAGGGUGAGUAACGCGUGGGAAUCUACCCAGUUAUGCGGAACAACAGUUGGUAACGACUGCUAAUACCGCAAACGCCCUACGGGGGAAAGCUUUAUCGGAAUCGGAUGAGCCCGCGUAAGAUUAGCUAGUUGGUGGGGUAAUGGCGUACCAAGGCGACGAUCUUUAGCGGGUAUGAGAGGGUGAUCCGCGACACUGGGACUGAGAAGCGGGCCAGACUCCUACGGGAGGCAGCGGUGGUGAAUAUUUGACAAUGGGAGCAAGCCUGUUCCAGCAAUGCCGCGUGAGUGAUGAAAGACUUAGGGUUGUAAAGCUCUUUCACCGAUGAAGAUAAGGACGGUAGUCGGAGAAGAAGCCCCGGCAAUCUUCGUGCCAGCCGCCGCCGUAAGAC
rnacentral:rRNA from 1 species